rnacentral:lncRNA from 1 species
AAGCAAAGGCAUUUUUCAUUAAAUUAAACCAAGUGUUACAAGCGGCCGGUGGCACGGCGGGAAAAAGUAUACAACGCACAACAAUAGCUAAGUCUGGAUACAAAAAAGAAAUAGGAGAGAAGUUGAACGAGGCGCGCCCCAGACGUCGUCCCAUGGAGGCGGACCCACGGCCCGGAUGAGCGUGGUCGCGGUCGCGGACGUCCCCCGGACGAACUUAAGGGGCUGGCUUCGAGGAUCCCGACAGAAAGUGGCGCAGAUCAUAGGCCGGAAGGGACGAAGACCCGCGGGAACGACGAGGACCUCGCGGCCGGCGGCGCCUCGGAAGGGGCGUUGGAUCAGCGACAGCAGCGGGAGCGACGGUCGUACCUUGCGCGCGGGAAGCACGCGAAGUUCCAGCAGAACCCGACGUGUCAGGAUAGGUGACGAGGGGAAGCUCCGCGACAAUGUCGUUGCAGCGAAUCCGGUUGAGG